rnacentral:rRNA from 1 species
CCUUACACAUGGCAAGUCGAACGGCAGCACGGGUGCUUGCACCUGGUGGCGAGUGGCGAACGGGUGAGUAAUACAUCGGAACAUGUCCUGUAGUGGGGGAUAGCCCGGCGAAAGCCGGAUUAAUACCGCAUACGAUCUACGGAUGAAAGCGGGGGACCUUCGGGCCUCGCGCUAUAGGGUUGGCCGAUGGCUGAUUAGCUAGUUGGUGGGGUAAAGGCCUACCAAGGCGACGAUCAGUAGCUGGUCUGAGAGGACGACCAGCCACACUGGGACUGAGACACGGCCCAGACUCCUACGGGAGGCAGCAGUGGGGAAUUUUGGACAAUGGGCGAAAGCCUGAUCCAGCAAUGCCGCGUGUGUGAAGAAGGCCUUCGGGUUGUAAAGCACUUUUGUCCGGAAAGAAAUCCUUGGCUCUAAUACAGUCGGGGGAUGACGGUACCGGAAGAAUAAGCACCGGCUAACUACGUGCCAGCAGCCGCGGUAAUACGUAGGGUGCAAGCGUUAAUCGGAAUUACUGGGCGUAAAGCGUGCGCAGGCGGUUUGCUAAGACCGAUGUAAAUCCCCGGGCUCAACCUGGGAACUGCAUUGGUACUGGCAGGCUAGAGUAC